UACGAAGGGGGCUAGCGUUGCUCGGAAUCACUGGGCGUAAAGCGCACGUAGGCGGAUUGUUAAGUCAGGGGUGAAAGCCUGGAGCUCAACUCCAGAACUGCCCUUGAUACUGGCAAUCUCGAGUCCGGAAGAGGUAAGUGGAACUCCGAGUGUAGAGGUGAAAUUCGUAGAUAUUCGGAAGAACACCAGUGGCGAAGGCGACUUACUGGACACAUAUUGACGCUGAGGUGCGAAAGCGUGGGGAGCAAACAGG
rnacentral:rRNA from 1 species